rnacentral:tRNA from 3 species
GUCAGAGUAGCUCAGCUGGUUAGAGCGACGGACUCAUAACCCGUAGGUCGGGAGUUCAAGUCUCCCCUCUGACA